GUCUUUUUGAGUUUUAUUUAAAGUCUAAUCUGCCCACUGAUUUUAUAUUUAAGGGCCGCAGUAUUUUGACUGUGCAAAGGUAGCAUAAUCAUUAGUCUUUUAAUUGAAGGCUUGUAUGAAUGAUUGGACGAGAUAUAAGCUGUCUCAUAAAAAUUUGUAGAAUUUUAUUUUUUAGUUAAAAAGCUAAAAUAUAUUUAAAAGACGAGAAGACCCUAUAGAUCUUUAUAAUUUAUUUAUACAUUUUUAUUGGUUAUUUUUUAAAUUUAUAAAUUAAAUUAUUUUGUUGGGGUGACAGUGAAAUUUAAUAAACUUUCAUUAAAUUUAAAACAUAAAUUUAUGAUUUAUUGAUCCAUUAUUAUUGAUUAAAAAUUUAAGUUACCUUAGGGAUAACAGCGUAAUUAUUUUGGAGAGUUCAUAUCGAUAAAAUAGUUUGCGACCUGGAUGUUGGAUUAAGAUUAAUACUGGGUGUAGCAGUUCAGAAUAUUAAGUCUGUACGACUUUUAAUUUCUU
rnacentral:rRNA from 1 species